AAUGGGUCAGCGACUUAUAUUCUGUAGCAAGGUUAACCGAAUAGGGGAGCCGAAGGGAAACCGAGUCUUAACUGGGCGUUAAGUUGCAGGGUAUAGACCCGAAACCCGGUGAUCUAGCCAUGGGCAGGUUGAAGGUUGGGUAACACUAACUGGAGGACCGAACCGACUAAUGUUGAAAAAUUAGCGGAUGACUUGUGGCUGGGGGUGAAAGGCCAAUCAAACCGGGAGAUAGCUGGUUCUCCCCGAAAGCUAUUUAGGUAGCGCCUCGUGAAUUCAUCUCCGGGGGUAGAGCACUGUUUCGGCAAGGGGGUCAUCCCGACUUACCAACCCGAUGCAAACUGCGAAUACCGGAGAAUGUUAUCACGGGAGACACACGGCGGGUGCUAACGUCCGUCGUGAAGAGGGAAACAACCCAGACCGCCAGCUAAGGUCCCAAAGUCAUGGUUAAGUGGGAAACGAUGUGGGAAGGCCCAGACAGCCAGGAUGUUGGCUUAGAAGCAGCCAUCAUUUAAAGAAAGCGUAAUAGCUCACUGGUCGAGUCGGCCUGCGCGGAAGAUGUAACGGGGCUAAACCAUGCACCGAAGCUGCGGCAGCGACACUAUGUGUUGUUGGGUAGGGGAGCGUUCUGUAAGCCUGUGAAGGUGGCCUGUGAGGGUUGCUGGAGGUAUCAGAAGUGCGAAUGCUGACAUAAGUAACGAUAAAGCGGGUGAAAAGCCCGCUCGCCGGAAGACCAAGGGUUCCUGUCCAACGUUAAUCGGGGCAGGGUGAGUCGACCCCUAAGGCGAGGCCGAAAGGCGUAGUCGAUGGGAAACAGGUUAAUAUUCCUGUACUUGGUGUUACUGCGAAGGGGGGACGGAGAAGGCUAUGUUGGCCGGGCGACGGUUGUCCCGGUUUAAGCGUGUAGGCUGGUUUUCCAGGCAAAUCCGGAAAACCAAGGCUGAGGCGUGAUGACGAGGCACUACGGUGCUGAAGCGACAAAUGCCCUGCUUCCAGGAAAAGCCUCUAAGCAUCAGGUAACAUCAAAUCGUACCCCAAACCGACACAGGUGGUCAGGUAGAGAAUACCAAGGCGCUUGAGAGAACUCGGGUGAAGGAACUAGGCAAAAUGGUGCCGUAACUUCGGGAGAAGGCACGCUGAUAUGUAGGUGAAGCGACUUGCUCGUGGAGCUGAAAUCAGUCGAAGAUACCAGCUGGCUGCAACUGUUUAUUAAAAACACAGCACUGUGCAAACACGAAAGUGGACGUAUACGGUGUGACGCCUGCCCGGUGCCGGAAGGUUAAUUGAUGGGGUUAGCGGUAACGCGAAGCUCUUGAUCGAAGCCCCGGUAAACGGCGGCCGUAACUAUAACGGUCCUAAGGUAGCGAAAUUCCUUGUCGGGUAAGUUCCGACCUGCACGAAUGGCGUAAUGAUGGCCAGGCUGUCUCCACCCGAGACUCAGUGAAAUUGAACUCGCUGUGAAGAUGCAGUGUACCCGCGGCAAGACGGAAAGACCCCGUGAACCUUUACUAUAGCUUGACACUGAACAUUGAGCCUUGAUGUGUAGGAUAGGUGGGAGGCUUUGAAGUGUGGACGCCAGUCUGCAUGGAGCCGACCUUGAAAUACCACCCUUUAAUGUUUGAUGUUCUAACGUUGGCCCGUAAUCCGGGUUGCGGACAGUGUCUGGUGGGUAGUUUGACUGGGGCGGUCUCCUCCUAAAGAGUAACGGAGGAGCACGAAGGUUGGCUAAUCCUGGUCGGACAUCAGGAGGUUAGUGCAAUGGCAUAAGCCAGCUUGACUGCGAGCGUGACGGCGCGAGCAGGUGCGAAAGCAGGUCAUAGUGAUCCGGUGGUUCUGAAUGGAAGGGCCAUCGCUCAACGGAUAAAAGGUACUCCGGGGAUAACAGGCUGAUACCGCCCAAGAGUUCAUAUCGACGGCGGUGUUUGGCACCUCGAUGUCGGCUCAUCACAUCCUGGGGCUGAAGUAGGUCCCAAGGGUAUGGCUGUUCGCCAUUUAAAGUGGUACGCGAGCUGGGUUUAGAACGUCGUGAGACAGUUCGGUCCCUAUCUGCCGUGGGCGCUGGAGAACUGAGGGGGGCUGCUCCUAGUACGAGAGGACCGGAGUGGACGCAUCACUGGUGUUCGGGUUGUCAUGCCAAUGGCACUGCCCGGUAGCUAAAUGCGGAAGAGAUAAGUGCUGAAAGCAUCUAAGCACGAAACUUGCCCCGAGAUGAGUUCUCCCUGACUCCUUGAGAGUCCUGAAGGAACGUUGAAGACGACGACGUUGAUAGGCCGGGUGUGUAAGCGCAGCGAUGCG
rnacentral:rRNA from 1 species